rnacentral:misc_RNA from 1 species
GAUGAAGAACGUAGCGAAAUGCGAUAAGUAAUGUGAAUUGCAGAAUUCAGUGAAUCAUCGAAUCUUUGAACGCACAUUGCGCCCCCUGGUAUUCCGGGGGGCAUGCCUGUCCGAGCGUCAUUACAACCCUCAAGCUUAGCUUGGUGUUGGGCCCCGCCGCCCCGGCGGGCCCUAAAGUCAGUGGCGGUGCCGUCCGGCUCCGAGCGUAGUAAUUCUUCUCGCUCUGGAGGUCCGGUCGUGUGCUCGCCAGCAACCCCCAAUUUUUUUCAGGUUGACCUCGGAUCAGGUAGGGAUACCCGCUGAACUUAAGCAUAUCAAUAAGCGGAGGA